CCUACGGGAGGCUGCAGUGGGGGAUAUUGCACAAUGGGGGGAACCCUGAUGCAGCGACGCCGCGUGGGUGAAGAAGCGCCUCGGCGCGUAAAGCUCUGUCAGCAGGGAAGUAAAUGACGGUACCUGAAGAAGAAUCUCCGGCUAAUGACGUGCCAGCAGCCGAGGUAAUACGGAGGGGGCAAGCGUUAUCCGGAGUUACUGGGUGUAAAGGGGGCGCAGUCGGAGAUGCAAGCCAGGAGUGAAAGCCCGGGGCCCAACCCCGGGACUGCUCGUGGUACUGCGUGGCUGGAGUGCAGGAGGGGCAGGCGGAAUUCGUGGUGUAGCGGUGAAAUGCGUAGAUAUCAGGAGGAACACCGGUGGCGAAGGCGGCCUGCUGGACUGCAACUGACGUUGAGGCCCGAAAGCGUGGGGAGCAAACAGGAUUAGAUACCCUAGUAGUC
rnacentral:rRNA from 1 species